GCGGAAGGAUCAUUACCGAGUGAGGGCCCUCUGGGUCCAACCUCCCACCCAUGUUUAUUGUACCUUGUUGCUUCGGCGGGCCCGCCUCACGGCCGCCGGGGGGCUUCUGCCCUCUGGCCCGCGCCCGCCGAAGACACCAUUGAACACUGUCUGAAGAUUGCAGUCUGAGCAAUUAGCUAAAUAAGUUAAAACUUUCAACAACGGAUCUCUUGGUUCCGGCA
rnacentral:misc_RNA from 1 species